UACAGAGGUCCCAAGCGUUGUUCGGAUUCAUUGGGCGUAAAGGGUGCGUAGGUGGCGCGCUAAGUCGGGUGUGAAAUUUCGGAGCUUAACUCCGAAACUGCAUUCGAUACUGGUGUGCUUGAGGACUGGAGAGGAGACUGGAAUUCAUGGUGUAGCAGUGAAAUGCGUAGAGAUCAUGAGGAAGACCAGUGGCGAAGGCGGGACUCUGGACAGUUCCUGACACUGAGGCACGAAGGCCAGGGGAGCAAACGGG
rnacentral:rRNA from 1 species